UACAGAGGGUGCAAGCGUUGUUCGGAAUUAUUGGGCGUAAAGCGCGUGUAGGCGGCUUUGCAAGUCGGGUGUGAAAGCCCUCAGCUCAACUGAGGAAGUGCGCCCGAAACUGCAGAGCUUGAGUAACCGGAGAGGGUGGCGGAAUUCCCCAAGUAGAGGUGAAAUUCGUAGAUAUGGGGAGGAACACCGGUGGCGAAGGCGGCCACCUGGACGGUCACUGACGCUGAGGCGCGACAGCGUGGGGGAGCAAACAGG
rnacentral:rRNA from 1 species